CUGGCGGCAGGCUUAACACAUGCAAGUCGAACGCCCGAGCAAUCGGGAGUGGCAGACGGGUGAGUAACACGUGGGAACAUACCCUUCGGUUCGGAACAACGUUUGGAAACGGACGCUAAUACCGGAUACGCCCUGGCCGCGAGGCUUGGGGAAAGGCUUGACCGCCGAAGGAUUGGCCCGCGUUCGAUUAGCUUGAUGGCGGGGUAACGGCCCACCAUGGCGACGAUCGAUAGCUGGUCUGAGAGGAUGGCCAGCCACAUUGGGACUGAGACACGGCCCAAACUCCUACGGGAGGCAGCAGUGGGGAAUAUUGGACAAUGGGCGCAAGCCUGAUCCAGCCAUGCCGCGUGAGUGAUGACGGCCUUAGGGUUGUAAAGCUCUUUCGCCCGCGACGAUAAUGACGGUAGCGGGAGAAGAAGCCCCGGCUAACUUCGUGCCAGCAGCCGCGGUAAUACGAAGGGGGCUAGCGUUGUUCGGAAUCACUGGGCGUAAAGGGUGCGCAGGCUGGCAUUUAAGUCAGGGGUGAAAUCCCGAGGCUCAACCUCGGAACGGCCUUUGAUACUGGAUGUCUUGAGUUCGGAAGAGGUU
rnacentral:rRNA from 1 species